CAGGUCCAUUAUUCAGGCGGCCCUUGUAAACAAACCCGAACCCCUCCUUCCCCAGUGAGACUCUAGUAGCAUUUUUUUUUCAAAAAAACGUUUCCUGUAGCAUUCUUUAGCUCAUCUAACAUAAAGUACUUUAGAUAUUUGGAAUGCAAUAUGUCAAUCCUUCUUUUCUGGCUACAUGUAGAGCGCUGGAAGCUUCACGUUUUUUUGUGUAAUUAAAGGUUUUAAACUCCAUAGAUGUGAGUCAUAUGACAGGUUCGAGCUUCCAGUAUUACUACCG
rnacentral:lncRNA from 1 species